rnacentral:rRNA from 1 species
CACGUAGGGGACGAGCGUUGUCCGGAUUCAUUGGGCGUAAAGCGCGCGUAGGCGGCUCGGAAAGUCGGGCGUGAAAUGCCGGGGCUCAACCCCGGGACUGCGUCCGAUACUUCCGAGCUGGAGGUAGGUAGGGGAGAUCGGAAUUCCUGGUGUAGCGGUGAAAUGCGCAGAUAUCAGGAAGAACACCCGUGGCGAAAGCGGCUCUCUGGAACGGUACUGACGCUGAGACGCGAAAGCGUGGGGAGCGAACAGG